AUACGGAAGGUCCAGGCGUUAUCCGGAUUUAUUGGGUUUAAAGGGAGCGUAGGCCGUCUGUUAAGCGUGUUGUGAAAUGUAGAUGCUCAACAUCUGAAUUGCAGCGCGAACUGGCAGACUUGAGUGUGCGCAACGUAGGCGGAAUUCGUGGUGUAGCGGUGAAAUGCUUAGAUAUCACGAAGAACUCCGAUUGCGAAGGCAGCUUACGGGAGCACAACUGACGCUGAGGCAUGAAAGCGUGGGGAGC
rnacentral:rRNA from 1 species